UUUCCUACGGGGGGCUGCAGUAGGGGAUAUUGGUAAUGGGCGAAAGCCUGAACCAGCAACGCCGCGUGUGCGAUGAAGGCCUUCGGGUUGUAAAGCACUUUUGACUGGGACGAGGAAGGACGGUACCAGUGGAAUAAGCCUCGGCUAACUACGUGCCAGCAGCCGCGGUAAAACGUAGGAGGCGAGCGUUAUCCGGAUUUACUGGGUGUAAAGCGCAUGCAGGCGGUCGGCUAAGUUGGGUGUGAAAGCUCCCGGCUCAACUGGGAGAGGUUGCUCAAGACUGGCGGACUAGAGGAUGGUAAGGGAAAGCGUAAUUCCGGGUGUAGUGGUGAAAUGCGUAGAUAUCCGGAGGAACACCAGUGGCGAAGGCGGCUUUCUGGACCGUGCCUGACGCUCAGAUGCGAAAGCUAGGGUAGCAAACGGGAUUAGAUACCCGGGUAGUCCU
rnacentral:rRNA from 1 species